AAACCAGCACCUCAAGUGGUCAGGAUGAUUAUUGGGCCUAAAGCAUCCGUAGCCGGCUCUGUAAGUUUUCGGUUAAAUCUGUACGCUCAACGUACAGGCUGUCGGGAAUACUGCAGAGCUAGGGAGUGGGAGAGGUAGACGGUACUCGGGAGGAAGUGGUAAAAUGCUUUGAUCUCUCGAUGACCACCUGUGGCGAAGGCGGUCUACCAGAACACGUCCGACGGUGAGGGAUGAAAGCUGGGGGAGCAAACCGGAUUAGAAACCCCAGUAGUCC
rnacentral:rRNA from 1 species